GGCGUGCCUAAUACAUGCAAGUCGAGCGAACAGACGAGGAGCUUGCUCCUCUGACGUUAGCGGCGGACGGGUGAGUAACACGUGGAUAACCUACCUAUAAGACUGGGAUAACUUCGGGAAACCGGAGCUAAUACCGGAUAAUAUAUUGAACCGCAUGGUUCAAUAGUGAAAGACGGUUUUGCUGUCACUUAUAGAUGGAUCCGCGCCGCAUUAGCUAGUUGGUAAGGUAACGGCUUACCAAGGCAACGAUGCGUAGCCGACCUGAGAGGGUGAUCGGCCACACUGGAACUGAGACACGGUCCAGACUCCUACGGGAGGCAGCAGUAGGGAAUCUUCCGCAAUGGGCGAAAGCCUGACGGAGCAACGCCGCGUGAGUGAUGAAGGUCUUCGGAUCGUAAAACUCUGUUAUUAGGGAAGAACAAAUGUGUAAGUAACUAUGCACGUCUUGACGGUACCUAAUCAGAAAGCCACGGCUAACUACGUGCCAGCAGCCGCGGUAAUACGUAGGUGGCAAGCGUUAUCCGGAAUUAUUGGGCGUAAAGCGCGCGUAGGCGGUUUUUUAAGUCUGAUGUGAAAGCCCACGGCUCAACCGUGGAGGGUCAUUGGAAACUGGAAAACUUGAGUGCAGAAGAGGAAAGUGGA
rnacentral:rRNA from 1 species